ensembl:snRNA U6 U6 spliceosomal RNA
UUGCUUGCUUUGGCAGCACAUAAACUAAAAUUUGAACGAUACAGAGAUUAGCAUGGCCCCUGUGCAAGGACAGGCACAUUUGUGAAGUGUUCCAUAUUUAA